AACGAACGCUGGCGGCGUGGAUAAGACAUGCAAGUCGAACGAGGAAUUUAGAUAGCUUGCUAACUGAAUUCCUAGUGGCGAACGGGUGCGUAACACGUGAGCAACCUGCCCGAAAGAGGGGGAUAGCCCGAGGAAACUCGGAUUAAUACCCCAUGUGAUCUGCCAGGGUAUCCUGGUUCGAUUAAAUGGUGGGGAUCUUCGGACCUGCCGCUUUCGGAUGGGCUCGCGGCCUAUCAGCUUGUUGGUGAGGUAACGGCUCACCAAGGCUACGACGGGUAACUGGGUCUGAGAGGACGACCAGUCACACUGGAACUGAGACACGGUCCAGACACCUACGGGUGGCAGCAGUCGAGAAUCAUUCGCAAUGGGGGAAACCCUGACGGUGCGACGCCGCGUGGAGGAUGACGGCCCUAGGGUUGUAAACUCCUGUCAUCAGAGAGUAAGGUUCUUUGGUUAAUAGCC
rnacentral:rRNA from 1 species